AGUUAUGUGUGUGAUUGUCCUGCCAAAGGUGUGGAGUGGUAGGUGCAGUGGGAGAGGUUUCUGGUGGUUUUCCUCUGUGCUGGUCAGUGUGUGUUUCCAGCCUAGGUGUGGAAAGGCCUGCUGUGUGUGUGUGUGAGACCAGCCCCACCGUGCGUGGCUCUUUGAGUCCUUGGAAGAAUGGAGAGCCAUGCGUUCCCAGCAGGAUCAAGAGUACCAAGACUGCUUGCUUGCAGAUCAAGAGAAGUCUGACUUACAGAAAAAGUCGGCUGAAAUGGAAGAGAGACGGAUAAAGGCCAUAUCUGAGAGGCAGUUGAGACUGAUUGGUGUUCCAGAGCAAGCUCAUGGCAUACCACUCAGAUUUAAAUACCCUAGCGGCAUUACCAGAACAAGGCGAUUUGUCCUAACUGAAUCCAUUCAGAUAUUGUUUGACUUUGUCGGAGAAGAUGAAGAUGCCACAGAAUAUUUUCAUAUUCAAGAUGCUCUCUCAGUAACUAGACUCAACAGCAACAUGUCUGGCACCUUUCUGGAUAAUAACAUCAUAAGGUCACAAACACUGUAUGUCCACUGGAUUCAACCUGAGUCUCCAGAGUUUGUUCCUGCACUUGAUUACAACAAUCAUGAAGUAGCUCCAAGCUUUAACAACAUGUCUUGUUCCCCAUUGACUGAUUCUCCUCCUGCUCAUGGGCGAUCUUUCUCUCCCAAGAGGGCUGACCUUAAAACCAUUCUGAAUGGACUUUGGGCGAAGAUUGAUAACACUUCAUGCCCCACGAGUAAUCAGAUCAACAUAUGCAGAGACUACACUGGCAAUGUCCACAACAUAAUGAAAAGUACCUUGCAGGCCUUCAGACGCCGACGUUUCAAUCCUGCGGCAAGAUUGGAUGUUGUUUUUGUUGACAGUGAAAAAACAUCUGAAGGUGCAGUAGAUGGUGGUGGUCCCACAAGAGAGUAUUUGAGGUUGCUGAUGAAGGCCAUUCAUCAGUCUAACAUAUUUGAAGGACCGGAGAAGGACAAGAGAUUGACCCUCGACACUCAUGGUACACCAAUAAAUUAAUUAAUUUAUUUUUGUAAAUGCAUUUUAAUUUGACAAUUAAUUAUGCUUUGGUUAUGUUUGAUAGUGACACCUCACAGGAAAGCUAAAAUGAUCUUUGAAAUGUAUUUGAUUUCAACUUUUCAUUCUGUUACACAUUUUGCUCUGUUUCACUUUUGGGAAUUGAUGAGCAAUUUGUAUUUCUAUGUUCACCUGUUUU
ensembl:lncRNA